rnacentral:rRNA from 1 species
GACGAACGCUGGCGGCGUGCUUAACACAUGCAAGUCGAGCGGAAAGACCCUGCUUUUGUUCCGUGCUCGAGUGGCGAGCGGGUGUGUAACACGUGAAUAACCUCCCCUUAACUUUGGGGUAACUCCAGGAAACUGGGGCUAAUACCCGAUAGGAGCUCCCGCUGCGUGGUGGUGGUUGGAAAGUUUCGGCUGUUCGAGCUCGACUCGCGGCGUAUCAGCUGGUUUGUCGGGUAGUUGCUUACCAAGGCUAUGACGGGUAGCCGACCUGAGAGAGUGGUAGGCGACACUAGAGCUGAGCCACGGACCAGAGUCCUGCGGGAGGCAGCAGUAGGGAAUCGUACGCAAUGGGCGAGAGCAUGACGGAACGACGCCGAGUGUGUGAUGACGGUCUUCGGAUCGGAAAACUGUGUUAUUAGGGAAGAACAAACGUGUAAGGAACUGUGCACGUAGUGACGGUACCGAGUCAGAAAGCCACGGCUAACUACGUG